CCUACGGGUGGCAGCAGUGGGGGAUAUUGCACAAUGGGGGGAACCCUGAUGCAGCGACGCCGCGUGAGUGAAGAAGUAAUUCGUUAUGUAAAGCUCUAUCAGCAGGGAAGAAUAAAUGACGGUACCUGAUUAAGAAGCCCCGGCUAACUACGUGCCAGCAGCCGCGGUAAUACGUAGGGGGCAAGCGUUAUCCGGAUUUACUGGGGGUAAAGGGAGCGUAGACGGCAGCGCAAGUCUGAAGUGAAAUGCCGGGGCUUAACCCCGGAACUGCUUUGGAAACUGUGCAGCUAGAGUGCAGGAGAGGUAAGUGGAAUUCCUAGUGUAGCGGUGAAAUGCGUAGAUAUUAGGAGGAACACCAGUGGCGAAGGCGGCUUACUGGACUGUAACUGACGUUGAGGCUCGAAAGCGUGGGGAGCAAACAGGAUUAGAUACCCUGGUAGUC
rnacentral:rRNA from 1 species